AAUGGUAUGGAUCUAAAAUAGUAGAAAUCUUAGAAGCUAGUUGGAUAUGAGCUAUGGAUAGCGAGAUAGAGAGUAGUAUCGGUUGAUCUAUUUAGUUUAUUGCAUUGUUGCAUGAUUUGAAUAUUGCAUGUCUUGAGGCAUACGCAUGUAAUUUAAUAUUUGCAUAAAAUAUCUGUUGGACUAACAUGUUUGCAGUGCCUCCUUUAGACCUGGUGAGUCGAGCUUUUCCCUUGGGUGGCCGUACCUACUGGGAAUUAUGGACAUAGUUCUCAUCCCAUGUUGUUUUGGGGGAUUUCAAGUUCACACGCGAGCGGCGCGGCGGCACGAGGAAAUAGCGUAACUCCGUAGAUAGCGCCCUACCAUUGUGACGAGAGAUAGCGGUACCCCGAAGUGGUCUAGCUUAGGGGUGGAAAUGAAAAGAACAAAUUUGUAAUAACUAGAUUGUAUUUGGAGGUUAAUGUAAUUUAAUGUAAAACUGAGAUGAAUGCUUGUAAUAGUUUAGCAUUUAUGUUUUGGAUACCUUCCUUAUGCAAUCUGUGUUUGAAUAUUGUUCCUGGUUGGAACCUCGUGUAUUGUAUUGAUUGCGACGUCUUGAACGUACAGAAAAAAUUCUGUCCGUUCGGCGGUCUGUUGGCGUACCCGAAUCCGACCAAAUCGGAGGCAUGACAUGGAAUUUAAUUCUCAACAAAGCUCUCUUCUUCACUUC
rnacentral:lncRNA from 1 species